UUUUUCACCAUAAUAAUUAAAAAUGGCAUGCGAGUUAUUUUAGUUUAAAGCACCAGAAGUGUUUAUUUAAAUGUCUUAUUCAGCAUUGACGCUACCAACGAUAUAUUUCAUGAGAGUCGAAUGAUAAAUGAUGCCGAAAAUGGAGACGCAAAACAAAAAUGUGUAAUGAAAAUAGUUGAAGUCAACCAAACUCCCCAUCUAUGCACUUUCGCCGACAGAGACAUUGCAAUUGGCGAGGAACUCCGAUAUGAUUAUGGAGUACCAACACUUCCAUGGAGAAAGGCAACACACUGACUACUAGAUCUAUUGACAGCCAGGAACCAGGACAAACAACAUCCGUACACACGGAAGAAAGCGAUGAGACGAAAAGGGUACUUCCAAUACCAGGAGAACAAAACAAGCAGCCAAAAAGCAAUGGAGUGAAAACGAAAAAGGAGCUGUUCACAGACACUUUGAUCGUUUUUUGAUAAUGGGUAAAUUACCAGGGAAAAAAGAAAUACUUGCAUGUAUUGAAAGUGAGAAUGACCUUCACAACAGAAGUUGGAAAAUUGUCAAAGACUUUUGCAGAAAUUUAAUUGAAACAAAAAAGCGACGGGGACUUUUAACUUACAAAAAUAUUACACAUAUAAUGCACGUUUAGGAGAAUACGUUAAAGGAUGAAGUUGCCACUUUUUUGUGUUUUCUUGUUCUAUAUACUCUUUUCGAAAAAGAUAUAUGUGUGCUUAUUGUAUUUGAAUGUUUUAUUAAUACGGUUCAGUCAAAAACGAUAUUUGUUAAUAAUCAUAUCGCCGAACAAAUUAGGAUUGGUAUAUAGUUCGGCCAAAGAGUGUUUCUUUGUACUUUCUAUUACGAGUUUCUACGAGUUACUCACUAUACAAGUUAUUUUUUACCCUAAACUUGGUGAAUAUGAAUGAAUAUAGCAAACAUGAUAACAAAUCAAUCUAGAAGGCUAAACGUUCAGAGAAGGCACAAAAAAAUUCAGUCGGAUAAAUGGAAACAAACAUUUUGUUCAUGCAUAACAAACAAACACUUUUAGAUGUAAUAAGAUAAAUGUAAAUAACAUAAAAAACUACUGCUAAACUACUGCUACAAUAUGAAGAAUACAAAUGAAUAUUUUUUCAAUUUUACAAAAUUUGUUUUGAAUGACAGGUGUCUGACUUGCAGUUGAGUACUUAAUAGUUAUUUUAAAGUAAAAAUUUACCAAAAUGUAAAUUAUUGCGUAAAUAUCGCACUAGAAUUGAUUAAAUAGUUGUAAAAUAUUACAAUAAUUUCCUACACAUUUGUUUUGCGUGUUGAUAUUCACAUUAGCUAUCAAUUCACAUAUUUGCUUUGUGUAUAUAAUUGGUAUGUUUAUAUGUUUUUCAUAUCAAAAUUGCUUGAUCUACAAAAAUUCACGAGGAGUUAUGCAUUUUUUCCCAUGUUUUUAAUUGAAGUUUAUAAUUCAACGACGAUGAAAAUUACUAAGAUGCCAGAUUUAGUUAUGUUUUUGUCUCAUUUAUGGUUAAAGAUCAAUUAACAUACCCAUUUCCCAGACUAAGAUAUUGUUAAAACAAUUUAUCGCGUUUGCGACUGACCUCUUUUAUGCAUUCUAACACAAGCUAUUUACUUGUUGUUUUCGAAAACUCUUCAUAUACACACACUUGAACAAGCUGUAGAUUACCUAGAACAAAACAUAUUUGAAACAUAUAUUUAUAUGUGAUAUGUAAAUUCAUGCACAAAGCUAAUAACUAAUCAUGUUUAUACACUUUGCGAUAUGAUGCUAUAAUGUCGGUUGUUUUAAGUGAUUAAUCAUUAUGUUAACCAUGUUAUCUGCCAUCUGGAAUGUAAUUAAGUGUUUUGACAUGUAUGCGAAAUUGAUCUUGUUCGAUUUGGUGCUGUAUAUUCAGAAUUGAGUCACACUGUUAUAAUUUUCCUGUUGGUACAUAUUAUUUUUAAGUUGGCACCAACAAGGGUCUAACAAUUGAUCCACAUGUGCACUCCCAGUAAGUUUAUAUACUAUAAUGUAAGUGAUUUAAAAUAAUAUUAAACUACGUGUUUGAUAA